GAUGAACGCUGACAGAAUGCUUAACACAUGCAAGUCAACUGUGGCGGACGGGUGAGUAACGCGUAAAGAACUUGCCUCACAGAUAGGGACAACAUUUGGACACGAAUGCUAAUACCAGAUACUGUGAGAGAGCUGUGCGUCCCAUUAGCUAGGUGGAGAGGUAACGGCUCACCAAGGCGAUGAUGGGUAGCCGGCCUGAGAGGGUGAUCGGCCACAAGGGGACGGAGUCACGGCCCUUACUCCUACUGGAGGCAGCAGUGGGGAAUAUUGGACAAUGGACCAAAGUCUGAUCAAGCAAUUCUGUGUGCACGAUGAAGUUUUCGGAAUGUAAAGUGCUUUCAGUUGGGAAGCGGUACCAACAGAAGAAGCGACGGCUAAAUACGUGCCAGCAGCCGCGGUAAUAC
rnacentral:rRNA from 1 species